UGGUGGAGUGAUUUGUCUGGUUAAUUCCGUUAACGAACGAGACCUCAACCUGCUAAAUAGAUGUACGCAGUCUUUACCGGCUGUGUGUUGCAUCUUCUUAGAGGGACUGUCGGUGUUUAGCCGAAGGAAGUUUGAGGCAAUAACA
rnacentral:rRNA from 1 species